rnacentral:rRNA from 1 species
CCUACGGGUGGCAGCAGUGAGGAAUAUUGGUCAAUGGCCGGAAGGCUGAACCAGCCAAGCCGCGUGAAGGACGAAGGUGCCAAGCAUUGUAAACUUCUUUUGUCAAGGGACAAAAUCAGGCACGAGAGCCUGACUGAGGGUACUUGAUGAAAAAGCAUCGGCUAACUCCGUGCCAGCAGCCGCGGUAAUACGGAGGAUGCGAGCGUUAUCCGGAUUUAUUGGGUUUAAAGGGUGCGUAGGCGGAUUGUUAAGUCAGUGGUAAAAGCCCGGGGCUCAACCUCGGCUUGCCGUUGAAACUGGCAGUCUUGAGUUGACGAGAGGUAUGCGGAAUGCGCAGUGUAGCGGUGAAAUGCUUAGAUAUUGCGCAGAACUCCGAUUGCGAAGGCAGCAUACCGGCGGGGAACUGACGCUGAGGCACGAAAGCGUGGGUAUCGAACAGGAUUAGAUACCCGUGUAGUC